GUGAGGGUUCAAGUCCCUCUAUCCCCAA
rnacentral:tRNA from 1 species